rnacentral:rRNA from 1 species
UUUAAAUUAUUUUGGAGAUUUAUUUUUAGUAUAGAGAGUGAAAAUUGAGGGUGAUCUAUAGAUUAUUAGUACUUUGCUGGUUUGUUUUUAUUCUUAUUGAAUAUUAGGUUUUUUAUUACCUUUUGUAUUAGGGUUGAUUAAUGUGGUUUUAUAUUAAAUUAAGGUCUCGGCGAAUAUCGGGCUAUUUUUUGUUUAGGGUUUAGUUGCAUAUAGAUGGUAAAUAAAUUAUAGUUAUGAAAUAUUAUUCAAGAUGUUUUUUAUCUGGUUCUUUAAUAAAUUUAAUUAAUAAUAUUUUUAUUUGGUCUGUGGGCAGGGAUUAGCUUGUUCAUUUUUUAUAUAGGUUUUUGUUGAGUUUUGUUGUUGGGGUUGAUGGUGCCUGGUUGUGUUGAGUUAUUAUUGGGCAUUAUUACUUAUUUUAUUAAAUAGUGGUUUAUGUUAGUAUUAGGGUUAUUGUAGAAAUUUUAUUGUGAUGAGAUAAUGAUUAUAUUAGUAAUAUUUAAUUUAAGCUAAUUUAUUUGGAGUUAAAAUUUAUUUUGGAGUUGGUUUGAUUAUUGAGUUAAAUUAAAAUUAAUGAAUUCGGCAAAAUUAUAUUUCUGACUGUUUAGCAAAGACAUUGUUUUUUGUGGGUUUAAAAAAUAAGUUCUGUCCACUGCUAUGGGGUGAAGGACUGCAGUAUUUUGACUGUAUGAAGGUAGCAUAAUCAUUAGCUUUUUAAUUAGGGGCUGGUAUGAAGGUGAAACAGGGAUUUGCUGUUUCUUUUUUAUUGGUUGAAUUUUAUUUUUAUGUGAAAAAUCUUAGUUGAAUAAGUGGGACAAGAAGACCCUAAUAAGUUUUAUUCUUUUUUCUGAUGGGUAUAAAGGGUUAUUGGUGUGAUUUAUGGAUUAGGGGUUAGUUGGGGCGACGGUUUAUAAAACUUAGAUUUAUUUUUAAUUUUAGUUUUAGCGGGGGGUUAGACCUAGUUUGUUUAGAUGGGUGAAAAACUACUGUAGGGAUAACAGCGUAAUUUUAUUUGAGAGUUCUUAUUGACAAUGGA